AUACUUUGUAGAUGUGAUUUUGAAGUUGAAAUGUCAUGAAAUAUUUUGUGGUGUUAAUGAGGGCACAUUGGUUUGAUAUAUACGUUGAAUUUAUUAACAUGUUAGAGUGUGUUUGGAGAUGGUUUUUGACCUAUGAAAUUGUGUAAUUGACUGUGUUUAGGUACCUAAGAGAAAGGGUGAAAUUUGAGCAAAGAAUCGGUUAUUUUGUGCACACACGACCUGGGACAUAGGUUGUUACACAGCGGUGUGAAGCACACGGGAAACCCACAUGGG
rnacentral:lncRNA from 1 species